rnacentral:rRNA from 1 species
UACGUAGGGGGCAAGCGUUGUCCGGAAUUAUUGGGCGUAAAGAGCGUGUAGGCGGUCCGGUAAGUCAGCUGUGAAAGUCAAGGGCUCAACCCUUGAAAGCCGGUUGAUACUGUCGGGCUAGAGUCCGGAAGAGGCGAGUGGAAUUCCCGGUGUAGCGGUGAAAUGCGCAGAUAUCGGGAGGAACACCAAUGGCGAAGGCAGCUUGCUGGGACGGUACUGACGCUGAGACACGAAAGCGUGGGGAGCAAACAGG